AUUGAACGCUGGCGGCAGGCCUAACACAUGCAAGUCGAGCGAGCGGCGGACGGGUGAGUAAUGUGUGGGAAACUCUCUGUGGGAGGGGGAUAACUACUGGAAACGGUAUCUAAUACAGCAUACCAUCAGAUGUGCCCAGAUGGGAUUAGCUAGUGGGUGGGGUAAUGGCUCACCUAGGCGACGAUCCCUCGCGGGUGUGAGAGGAUGACCAGCCACACUGGAACUGAGACACGGUCCAGACUCCUACGGGAGGCAGCAGUGGGGAAUAUUGCACAAUGGGCGCAAGCCUGAUGCAGCCAUGCCGCGUGUGUGAAGAAGGCCUUCGGGUUGUAAAGCACUUUCAGCGAGGAGGCGUUACCCGCAGAAGAAGCACCGGCUAACUCCGUGCCAGCAGCCGCGGUAAUAC
rnacentral:rRNA from 1 species